UGAGACGGCCAUAGUAAUCUGGUCACACCUGAUCUCAUUCCGAACUCAGAAGUUAAGAAGAUUACGUUUUAUGUUGUACUGUUGAACAAAUGGGAAGCAUAAAAGCUGUCUUAC
rnacentral:rRNA from 1 species